rnacentral:rRNA from 1 species
AUACGGAGGAUCCGAGCGUUAUCCGGAUUUAUUGGGUUUAAAGGGUGCGUAGGCGGAAUAAUAAGUCAGUUGUGAAAGUUUGCGGCUCAACCGUAAAAUUGCAGUUGAUACUGUUAUUCUUGAGUGUACAUAAGGUAGGCGGAAUUCGUGGUGUAGCGGUGAAAUGCUUAGAUAUCACAAAGAACUCCGAUUGCGCAGGCAGCUUACUAAACUACAACUGACGCUCAGGCACGAAGGCGUGGGUAUC